ACUUACCCUAAUACACUUAUUAAUGAAAGGGCAAGAGUGAAAUCGCAAUUAAACAAUAAAUAAUAUAAAAUUAUGUUCAUAAUAUUAAAAUAUAGAAAUGGAAUAUAUAUUUAAUGAAAUUAAAUUUAUUUGUCGAAGUACCAAAUUUUUAUAUGCGAUAUACAUACAAAUUUUAACAGCUCCAAGAGGACAAUAUGACGUGUCACAUAUAAUUAUGAAUUUUAUCAUGUCUAAAUAAUACAAUAGCAGUCACACUUACACCACCUCACCUUAAUAAUUAAGUUACAAAGUUAUUCACUUAAAAUUGAGAACUACAAUUUUAUUUUUCUUGAAAUUAAAUUCUAUGGUAAUAGGAAAACGUAUAUUAUAAACGCCUGCGAAAAAAACAAUUAUUUACUGUUUACUAUAAUAUAAUAUCAGUAAUAUUUUAAAAGAAAGCAGUGGUGGAUACAGGGGGAGAGCACAGAGAUACGUGCCCCACACUGUCAAUGGACUACAGUUUUUAUUUAUGUAUUUUAUACUAAUUUAAUGUAUAAUUUAUAGAUACAGAAAAUAUGUAAGAAUGUAUACAAGUAAAUUGAUUUAAAUAUUAAAUACCCAAUCUCCGACUCUCUGAGAUGUUUAUAUUAGUAACCUAU